rnacentral:rRNA from 1 species
AAAUUGAAGAGUUUGAUCAUGGCUCAGAUUGAACGCUGGCGGCAGGCCUAACACAUGCAAGUCGAGCGGUAGCACAGAGAGCUUGCUCUCGGGUGACGAGCGGCGGACGGGUGAGUAAUGUCUGGGAAACUGCCUGAUGGAGGGGGAUAACUACUGGAAACGGUAGCUAAUACCGCAUAACGUCGCAAGACCAAAGUGGGGGACCUUCGGGCCUCAUGCCAUCAGAUGUGCCCAGAUGGGAUUAGCUAGUAGGUGGGGUAAUGGCUCACCUAGGCGACGAUCCCUAGCUGGUCUGAGAGGAUGACCAGCCACACUGGAACUGAGACACGGUCCAGACUCCUACGGGAGGCAGCAGUGGGGAAUAUUGCACAAUGGGCGCAAGCCUGAUGCAGCCAUGCCGCGUGUAUGAAGAAGGCCUUCGGGUUGUAAAGUACUUUCAGCGAGGAGGAAGGCGUUAAGGUUAAUAACCUUGGCGAUUGACGUUACUCGCAGAAGAAGCACCGGCUAACUCCGUGCCAGCAGCCGCGGUAAUACGGAGGGUGCAAGCGUUAAUCGGAAUUACUGGGCGUAAAGCGCACGCAGGCGGUCUGUCAAGUCGGAUGUGAAAUCCCCGGGCUCAACCUGGGAACUGCAUUCGAAACUGGCAGGCUAGAGUCUUGUAGAGGGGGGUAGAAUUCCAGGUGUAGCGGUGAAAUGCGUAGAGAUCUGGAGGAAUACCGGUGGCGAAGGCGGCCCCCUGGACAAAGACUGACGCUCAGGUGCGAAAGCGUGGGGAGCAAACAGGAUUAGAUACCCUGGUAGUCCACGCCGUAAACGAUGUCGACUUGGAGGUUGUGCCCUUGAGGCGUGGCUUCCGGAGCUAACGCGUUAAGUCGACCGCCUGGGGAGUACGGCCGCAAGGUUAAAACUCAAAUGAAUUGACGGGGGCCCGCACAAGCGGUGGAGCAUGUGGUUUAAUUCGAUGCAACGCGAAGAACCUUACCUACUCUUGACAUCCAGAGAACUUAGCAGAGAUGCUUUGGUGCCUUCGGGAACUCUGAGACAGGUGCUGCAUGGCUGUCGUCAGCUCGUGUUGUGAAAUGUUGGGUUAAGUCCCGCAACGAGCGCAACCCUUAUCCUUUGUUGCCAGCGGUUCGGCCGGGAACUCAAAGGAGACUGCCAGUGAUAAACUGGAGGAAGGUGGGGAUGACGUCAAGUCAUCAUGGCCCUUACGAGUAGGGCUACACACGUGCUACAAUGGCAUAUACAAAGAGAAGCGACCUCGCGAGAGCAAGCGGACCUCAUAAAGUAUGUCGUAGUCCGGAUUGGAGUCUGCAACUCGACUCCAUGAAGUCGGAAUCGCUAGUAAUCGUAGAUCAGAAUGCUACGGUGAAUACGUUCCCGGGCCUUGUACACACCGCCCGUCACACCAUGGGAGUGGGUUGCAAAAGAAGUAGGUAGCUUAACCUUCGGGAGGGCGCUUACCACUUUGUGAUUCAUGACUGGGGUGAAGUCGUAACAAGGUAACCGUAGGGGAACCUGCGGUUGGAUCACCUCCUUA